GACGAAGGGGGCUAGCGUUGUUCGGAAUUACUGGGCGUAAAGCGAGUGUAGGUGGUUGUCCAAGUUGGAUGUGAAAGCCCCCGGCUCAACUGGGGAGGGUCACGCGAUACUGCUCGACUCGAAGGCAGGAGAGGGAAGUGGAAUUCCCGGUGUAGUGGUGAAAUGCGUAGAUAUCGGGAGGAACACCAGUGGCGAAGGCGACUUCCUGGCCUGUUCUUGACGCUGAGGCGCGAAAGCUAGGGGAGCAAACGGG
rnacentral:rRNA from 1 species